UGAUAACUUAGUGUUGCUGAGAAUGAAAUGUAUAAUAGUACAUAUUUAUAUAGUGUUUUAAGGUUUGUAAAGUUAUUUAAAUAUAUUAUUUAAUUUGAUGCUCACAGCUAUUCUGUGAGGUAGGUGCUGUUAUUUCCAUUUUACAGAUUAAGAAAUGGAUUUUCACAGAUAUUAAAUGAUUUGUACAUAUGUGAUAAGACCUGAAUUUUCCCUGGUUCCCUGUAAUAUGGAUUAGUUCUUAUCUAAAAGAUAACAAAGUUAUCCUUAGGAACUGAUUAUUGCCUGAUUCUCUUAAUGCAGUUUCCUGGGUACCUUAGGGCAUAGUGGAGAGGAAGAGUGACAAAAGAGUACAAUCAGAUAAAGGAAUUUUGUAUUUCAUGGAGGUAGAACACUUGUGGGUGAUGGCAAGAUUAAAGGAAUGAACAGUACUUUGUGUAACUGCGGUGGGAUGGAGAAGUUGGUUAGCUGUUGUCCUUAGUUCUCAAAGAGGACUAAAAUGACAUUGCUAUGUUAGGGUCAAUGUGCAGUAUGUUCUACUGUGACUGAUCAGAACACUAUGAGCUCAGAAGGCUCUAUCACAGGUAAGGCACAGGCUGUAUGAACAUUUGGCAUAGAAAUGUCUCCAAACUGGCACAUCUCGCAUUUCUUUUUUAAAUUGCUACUGCAGUUCUGCUUUGUGCAUAGAACAUAGAGGGACCGACCUGCAGUUCCUAUAUAAUUUAUCUGUGGGUGUGCCCUGAGAAGGAGAAUGGAGGCUAGAGGAAUAUGGAUGUGAGAUAGAUAAGGCAGUCAGGGCAAGAAAUAGAAAUAAAGAUUCAGAGACCACAAGUUAAAACACCUGGGGAGAAGCAAGCUCCUCUGUAGAUACCUCUCUAUUGGAAGAUAACAGAGUGGAGAAAUUAUAAGUAUGAGAAACAAGAGCACCUGCGUGGAGCUGAGAAUUCUGGGACAUCCCCCAUGGACCAGGUGGUCAAGAGAUUAAUGGGAGAUGUGCGGGGAAGCUGUGCUGCGUAAGUCAGUCAGACAUGAGGAGGCCAUUAUAGGCCAUAGCAAGAUUAAGAGGUGCAAAGGAGCAACAGCAAGAGCAAGGGCUGUGAGAGCAAGAGGGAUGACAUAAAACUGGGAAGGAAAGAUGACACAUUGGAUGACAGUCAGGAACCACAAAGAUUUCAACAGACCAG
rnacentral:lncRNA from 1 species